AAGUUUAUUUUUUUAAAAAAAAAUAGAUUUAAAAUUUUGACAUUAUUUCAAAAUUUUGAUGUAAAUUUUUAAUAUUUAAUAUUUAAUUUGAAUUUAAAUUAAUAUAUUAUAAAGAUAAUGUUAGUAUAUUAAUUUGAUUACGUUUUUCAUAUCCACCUGAACCAAACACCGAUAAUGGGAAUGAUUUAUUCCGAUUCCGAUUCGAGUGAUAAACCAAACAGAAUUUGGUAAUGAGUCAUUCCGAUUCCGAUUCCAGCUUAUUUUGAUUCCGAUUUCGAUUUCGAUUCCGACUACGAACCAAACAUGCCCUUAAUGUUACCAAGUUUUCGGCCAUUAGAUUUAUCAUUUUAACCAUUUUCAUCAGUUAAAUUAUACUCUUCAACCAACUACUCACUCAAUUCUAGAAGACCACUAUCAUUCUAACAGCACAUUCCUUCAUCCAAGGGCCAAAAAUUUAAUACCACCAAUAACUUGGUAUUGUUAGAAAUAUUUCAAUCUAAUUAUUGUUAUUAUUAUUAUUAGAAUCCGGCUGGGAUACUAUCGAUAGCACUAAGGAUUUGGUGCUAUUGAGUUUUCUACCGUUAAAUUUAACCCUAUGAUUAUUUUUAUCCGUUAGAUUAUACUAUUCAACUAACCACUCACUCAACCCUAGGGGAUUCACAUCAUCUUAACGGCACAUUUCUCAAUCUAAGAACUAAAAAACUAUUAGCACUAAUAGCUUGAUGCUAUUGAUAGUAUUUCAGUCUAUUUUUUAUUAUUAUAUGACAAUUGAGGAUGUAAUUAAUAAGGCAAGAACCAAGAAGGGGAGU
rnacentral:lncRNA from 1 species